rnacentral:rRNA from 1 species
GAGGAAUAUUGGUCAAUGGGCGCGAGCCUGAACCAGCCAAGUAGCGUGAAGGAUGAAGGUCCUAUGGAUUGUAAACUUCUUUUAUACGGGAAUAAAGUGGUCCACGUGUGGGCCUUUGCAUGUACCGUAUGAAUAAGCAUCGGCUAACUCCGUGCCAGCAGCCGCGGUAAUACGGAGGAUGCGAGCGUUAUCCGGAUUUAUUGGGUUUAAAGGGAGCGCAGACGGGGGAUUAAGUCAGUUGUGAAAGUUUGCGGCUCAACCGUAAAAUUGCAGUUGAUACUGGUUCCCUUGAGUGCAGUUGAGGCAGGCGGAAUUCGUGGUGUAGCGGUGAAAUGCAUAGAUAUCACGAAGAACCCCGAUUGCGAAGGCAGCCUGCUAAGCUGUAACUGACGUUGAGGCUCGAAAGUGUGGGUAUCAAAC